rnacentral:rRNA from 1 species
GACGAACGCUGGCGGCGUGCUUAACACAUGCAAGUCGAACGGAAAGGCCCCAGCUUUCUUGGUUACUCGAGUGGCGAACGGGUGAGUAACACGUGUGUGAUCUGCCCUUCACUCUGUGAUAAGCCUGCGAAACUCGGUCUAAUAUCGGAUAUGACCUUUCUUUCGGCUUUGCUGUGUAGAGUUUUUCGGUUCAGGAUGGGCCUGCGGCCUAUCAGCUUGUUCGUGGGGUAGUGGCCUACCAAAGCGGAGACGGAUAGCCCGCAUGAGAGGGUGUACGGCCACAAGGGGACUGAGACACGGCCCAGACGCGUACGGGAGGCAGCAGUGGGGAAUAUUGCGCAAUGGGCGCAAGCCUGAUGCAGAGACGCCGCGUGGGGGAUGACGGCCUUCGGGUUGUAAACACAUUUCGGCAGGGACGAAGCUGUUGUGACGGUACCUGCAGAAGAAGCACCGGCUAACUACGUG